CCACGGCGGUGGCCUGCUCGCCAACGGCGCUGCCGACGGCCACGCAGUCGGCGCCGGCGGCGCGCCCAACGGCCUGGUAUCCGCCACCAUCAUGACGUCUGACCCGAGCUUGGGGCCGCUGGUGGCGCACAAGCACGCCUCUGGCGACCUGGACAUCGCCUCCGUCGCCGCCAACUACCGGCCCUACCCCUCCGCCACCAGCAUCCCCGCCGCCGACGUCGACGGCGACUCGUUCUCCUUCUUCUCCAUCCCGCCGCCGGUCAUCUCCGAGGAGGGCUCCGCCGACCCCGCCGCCACUGACGCCGCCGCAGACGCCGCCGCCGCCACUGCGCUCAUGGCGCUGUACGGCGGGUACGGCGGUGUCGGCGCGCUCGAGGCGGCGAUGCCCGGCUUUGGCGCGGACCCGGUCUGGAGCCCUAACCCGCACGUUGCCGGCGUGGGCGGUGUCGGCGCCACCAUGUUCCCCAGUAGCGGCGGCGCGCCGCUGCCGCCGCCGGGCUUUCCCAGCCACGCCUACGGUGGCGCCUUCGCCACCGGCCCGCUGCCGGGUGCCGGCGCCUGGGGCGCCGGCCGCGGCUCCGCCGGCGGCGCGGCGGCCGCAGAGCCGGCGGCGGCGGCCGCAGAGCCUGAGCCGCUGCCCCUGCCGCCGGCCGGCGACAACGCGGUCCUGGCCUCGCUGGGCUUUGUGGACGACGGCGGCGCGGGCGGCGCGGAGGAGGGCUCGGACGCGGCCGGCACGUGCAGCAUCUGCUGGUCGGCGCCGCGGCAGGUGGGCUUCCUGCACGGCAAGACCAGCCACCUGUGCGUGUGCCGGCGCUGCGCGGCGCAGCUGCGCGAGGGCGUGCACCGCUGCCCCAUGUGCCGCCAGCUGAUCGAGCGCAUCAUCGACAUCUUUUAGGCGAGUCAGCCGGCGGCGAGCGCCAGCUGUUGCCCGCGUCGGCUGCGGGCAACGGCAGGCGCGGAUUGGGCAGUAUAAUGUGUUCGCGGGCGCAUGCAAUACGAGCGACCCCGGGCAUCGCGGCAGGCUUAGGCGGCAUGUGCUGGACUGGUGACGGCGGCGCCAGGAACGGCAGUUGCAGCGACCGUGACCGGACGGCGCAUUCCACGGUAGCAGACUAGCAGCCGUAGCAGGGCCGCAGUGCUAGGGGCACUAGCACCGCGCUGCGUGUCCUGCUGGGGGUUGCAGAGUUCUGAUGGAGCGUCAAGGUGGACACGUCUCGGCAGGUUCAAGGCGUGGGCUCAAGCCCGUUGCGUUUUCGGCAUUCGCAGUGGCAGUGGCUUGCACCCGUCCUGCGGCCACGUGAGGGCUGCGCGCCUGUGGUCGUCGUUGGCGGCGGAGUUGUUGUGUGGGGCUGUGUGCGGGGCAGGACGAGGAAGAGCCGAAGAGGAACUGUGUGUCCGGUCAGGCGGCGCGACAGCGAGGAUACAGGGCCCGCGAAAGCCGCAACCUGCCGGGAGUGCGCCCGCACGAACGAGCAGCGGCGGCUGAAUGCAGGGCCGGUAGCUGCGUGCAUGUAUGAGUGUACCAUGAAGGCUGAACCGUAACCAGCACGGCCGCUGCGCAACGGUCAUGACAUGCCACGCAGAACCAGUAGAUUGUUUACGCACUGCCGAAAGUCUGUAAGCAGGGGUUUGUCUCGUUUAAGCCCAGCCAAUUUUGGCGGGAGUGGGUGUGCCUUGAUUGUUUACUUGUCCAUCGUGCACUGAGCGUGCGGAAUGGUGGCGUGCUCGCAGCUCACGAAAGAGGCAGUGCGCAUAGCGGUGUGUAUGCCCCGCAAAGUGCGGGCAUGGUCACACGCUCGGCUGGUGUCGGUGUGGCAUCGGAUAGCAAUAGGGCUCGCAAUCUUUGACCACACGGUAACAACGUAAGACCGCCAACACAGGUUUAGGCUUCUGGUGUUCCUGGGAUGGAAUGGGAAGUGUUGGUCCUAUGAGCGGCCAUUGACCGCGUGGUCUGACACGACACGAACCGCACUCGUGAUGGACGGCUGUGCGCGUAUUGCUGCGUGUACGUGUGUUUGUCUGUGGAGGGUGGGACAGGGGAUGAAAGUAAGCAUGCCAUUUGUAUGACGUCGUGCAUCUUGGCAUUGGGAGGGAGGCAGGAUACACGCGCGUGCGCAUUGAUGACUGAUGGUGCCGCAGUAGGGUGACUGAGGGUAGGCAACAGGGUUGGUGUACGACUGUACACCAUAAAGAACGACACAUGGGUUACUAGUUGAGCUCCGGCGCAGAGUUGGAUUCCAACUGCACACAGGAAUCCAACUUCUGUCGGAAGUACAGCGCACCAAACACAUUACGGCUCGUGCGCGGCCCUGCUUCGAUUGGUCCUUGUUUGUUAAGGUAGGAAGGUGGCAAGCCACUGAGUUGCUGCUGUCCCGGGCCCCUGCUCCAACCACCCAGAUGCUUUUUGUGUGUUCGGCAUGGGCUGUUUCAGCUUCCCCUGGGUUCCCGGGGCGCAUGCAUAAGCUGCCUCUGAAAUCUAAUGCCCCACACGCGCACGCGUUGAUAGCGGCCCUUCACCGCUGCUGCCGUGGCCAUGUCGUGUUACAGCCGCCAGCACCAGCAGGCCCAGGAUGCAAGACGGGCCACAUCGGCGCCCUCAGUCCACUUGCCCUUCACAGCGCACCACACACACGCCCUCGAGCGCCGCCAGCCAAACCCACAAACGCGGCACGGCCCACCGCAGGCCCCUCUGCCCCCGCCUCGUGUUGCCUCGUGCACCGCCCGGCACCUCAACAGGCACACCACACAGCACUCAGCCAAGCUGCCUCCCUAGGCCAGCACUGCCACUACCACACGCCGCACAAGAACCGCAACCCGCCACUGUCGUCACGCGGAGUCAUUCCGCGCCGUCCAGUCCGUCCAGCGCAGCCCCCGGCUCGGCGGGCUCGGCGGGCGGGUACCAGUACUGGCGCACCGCAGCCACCGGGUCGCCGCCGGAGCGGUGCAGCGCAGCCACCGCACCCGGCCGGUCGAACUGCGGGCGCGGGGGGCGGGGCGGGGGGUCACAUUCAUGAUGAUUUAAGAAGUGAAGGCGUACCCAGGCACAGUACGGUAGUAUAGCAGGGGGGGGGUUACAUCCAUGAUUAAUUAAGUAUAGCGGGGGGGGGCGGGCACUGCAUGCCGAAAUAUCAGCUCCCUGCGAAAGCACGAUGCAGGUCUUCACCCCUGCUUCAAAACAAUACGCACCCCUGCACCUACAACCCGCAGGUCUGCUCGUGUAUGUGGCGCUCCCCCACCUAUCACGCGUGCCAUUGCGCGCCGCCGCCCGCAGCACGGCGGCGACGGGCGGCCUCUUCGCCGCGCCGCCGCUGUACUCGCUUGUCACGGCGCGCCUGUGGGGCGGUGUGGCGGCGCCGCAGUCGGUGGUGCUGCUGGCGCUGGGCUUCGCAGUAGCCAUGUGCGCCGCGGCACACUGGAUGUCGCGGCGGUUGUCAGGGCGGCUGCGGGGGGAGGUGGCAUCGUUGGGGCUGGGGCUGACCAGCUCAGCCGCGGGCGGCAGCGGCGCGCAGUCGGCGGCUGGCAGCUCUGCUGGUGGGCCCGGUAGCGCGCGGCAGCGCAGCGGUGCGACGGCGGGCGGGGCAGGCGGUGGCAGCGCAUACAGUGGCGCCGGCGCCCGCAAAAGUGGCGCGGCUCUUGCUGCGGCCGCCGCCCCUGCCAGCAGCGCAGGGACCGCUGCGGCCGGCUCCAAAAAGGCCACUGCAGCCUCCUCCACAUCCCCUAGUACUAGCAAUGGCCACCACCCCACGUACGGCCGCACGCCGUCAGGCCGCGGGAGCGGUGGCAGCAGCCCGCCGCACGACCCGACGCGCCCGCCGGCUUCCUCCGGCAGCCGCACUGGCACCUCCUCUAGCUUUUCGGGCCUGCCUGCGUCUUUGACCGGCGCUGCCAGCACCUGCACACCCAGCAGUGGCGGCGGCGGCGGCAGCACUGCUACCGCGCCUGCGCCCGACCCCGUCAGCGUUCAGGCGUCAGCGCGCAGCCUCAGUGGCCGCGAGGGCAGCACAGCGCACGCCGGCUCUAGCUUGCACGACCCAGCCGCACCCAGCCCGCGCACAGUCGGGGGCUCGACCGCUGCGUCAGGGUCGUCCAAGCAGGCUGGCGGCGGGAAGGGCGGGAGCGCUUCAACAGCAGCUGCAACAGCCCACGACCCCGUUGUCGCCCCGUCCGCAAGGACUACGGCAGGCGCUAACUCCAACACUAGCAGAACCUCGCAGCAGCAGCACGCGGUAGACCCCGUGGCGGCACCCGCCGGCAACGGCAAGUCGUCGAAGGGCUCGGCAACGUCAGUCACGUCGGCCUCCGGUGCGGCCGCUGCGACAACGACAAAUCCCGUGGCGGCGCCUAGCGGAGGGAAGGCGCAACAGGCCAACCUGACAACCUCCUCGUCAAAGCAGCAACAGUCUGCGGCGGCGGCGGCUGUAGACCCCGUGGCAGCGCCCGCGUCCAAAAAGAAGGGCGGGAGCGCGUCGUUCGGGUCCGCAGCAACCGCGUCGGCCACUGUUGUCGCCACUGCAGCCACAAUGUCUGUGUCAGUUGCCCGCCAGGGCUCCGGCUCAGCUGGCGCGGCUGGUGGGGGCGGCGCCGCCAGCAAAGGCGGCGCGGCAACUGGCAAAGCUGCAACGAACGCGUUUGCGCCAUCUGCUGCCGUGACCGGCUCCUCAGCCUCCAGCGGCGGCAAGGCGUCUACCCCUAGCAACAACCCGGUCGCGCCCGCGCCGGCGGCAGCCGCCGCCGCCGCGUCUGGCAACACCACUAGCACCACCGCUGCCGGCGGCGGCCUGCUCGCGCGCCUGACCGCCACCGUUAGCUCCGCUGCCGCGGCGGCUCCAGGGCUGGCAGGGAGGGCGGGAAAGAAGGCCGCUGCGCCGCCGCCGCCGCGCAAGGGCCCCAACCCGACACCCACCUACAUUAUCGUGCCCCCGCCGCCCCCGCCGCCGCCGCGUAACAAGCCGCCCGCGGCGGCGGGCGCGGCGGCGGGCGCGGCGACAGCCGCCGCUGCUGCUGCAUCAACUGCGACGGCAGCAGCCCCGGCGACGCCAGCUGAGCAGCCCGUUAAGAACGCAUGGCUGAACCCCAACCCAGUCAUCAAAAUUGCCAGCGGCGCUGCCAAGGGGCCCAAGCCGUCUGCAACAGCACUCGCCGUCGCCGCUGCCGCUCCUGCAAGCUCCACAGUCGCUGCAGCGGCGGGGAAGCAAUCAGGCGCCGCCAACAGCGGAGCGGCGGUCGGUCGCGGCGGGCCGCCGCCGCCGCCGCCGCCGCCGCCCGCUCGGACCACGUCCGCCGCCUCUGCCGCCGCCGCCACAGGUGUCACGACUGCCGACCCUCCGCUGCUCAGCACGCGCACCUCCGCCGGUAGCGCCACUGCCUCGGCCUUCGCUGACCCCGUGGCGCCGCCGCCCGGGCCCGGCGCCGCUGCCGCCGCCGCCGUCGGCGACCCCGUCGUGUACCCUCCCGGGGGCCACGGCGGUGGCCUGCUCGCCAACGGCGCUGCCGACGGCCACGCAGUCGGCGCCGGCGGCGCGCCCAACGGCCUGGUAUCCGCCACCAUCAUGACGUCUGACCCGAGCUUGGGGCCGCUGGUGGCGCACAAGCACGCCUCUGGCGACCUGGACAUCGCCUCCGUCGCCGCCAACUACCGGCCCUACCCCUCCGCCACCAGCAUCCCCGCCGCCGACGUCGACGGCGACUCGUUCUCCUUCUUCUCCAUCCCGCCGCCGGUCAUCUCCGAGGAGGGCUCCGCCGACCCCGCCGCCAC
rnacentral:lncRNA from 1 species